CGUGCAAGUCAAGCUCAAAAGAAGGUUGAAGAAAGAUGCUAUCCCAACCAUUGACGUGGCUGGGAUUCCUGAACCAUUACAGGACGAAAUAACCGAUCGAAAGCGAAGACAAAUUAUUCGACAUACUCUCCAUAAGCCAUCGCUGAAGGAAACAUGUUCUCUCGAUGAGGAAGUACCAUCUACUAGUGAUGGAGCUGAGCAUGUUGAAGUAUGCACUGGGGAAGCAAACGAUUCGCCAUUUGAAGAAGAACUACAUGCAGUUGGUGAAGAUAUUUGUGAAUCCCAGUCUCCAUGUAAAUCGUGCCAUCGUCUUAAGAAAAAACUUACAUCUUUACAAAAGACUUUAAGCUGGUAUAAAAAGACAAAA